rnacentral:rRNA from 1 species
UACACACCGCCCGUCACACCAUGGGAGUCAGUUGCUCCAGAAACGGCUGCGCUAACCCGCAAGGGGGGCAGGUCUUUAAGGAGUGGCUGGUAACUGGGGUG